rnacentral:rRNA from 1 species
GAUGAACGCUAGCUACAGGCUUAACACAUGCAAGUCGAGGGGCAGCAUUUUAGUUUGCUUGCAAACUGAAGAUGGCGACCGGCGCACGGGUGAGUAACACGUAUCCGACCUGCCGAUAACUCCGGGAUAGCCUUUCGAAAGAAAGAUUAAUACCGGAUAGCAUACGAAUAUCGCAUGAUAUUUUUAUUAAAGAAUUUCGGUUAUCGAUGGGGAUGCGUUCCAUUAGUUUGUUGGCGGGGUAACGGCCCACCAAGACUACGAUGGAUAGGGGUUCUGAGAGGAAGGUCCCCCACAUUGGAACUGAGACACGGUCCAAACUCCUACGGGAGGCAGCAGUGAGGAAUAUUGGUCAAUGGGCGCGAGCCUGAACCAGCCAAGUAGCGUGAAGGAUGAAGGCUCUAUGGGUCGUAAACUUCUUUUAUAUGGGAAUAAAGUUUUCCACGUGUGGAAUUUUGUAUGUACCAUAUGAAUAAGGAUCGGCUAACUCCGUGCCAGCAGCCGCGGUAAUACGGAGGAUCCGAGCGUUAUCCGGAUUUAUUGGGUUUAAAGGGAGCGUAGGUGGAUUGUUAAGUCAGUUGUGAAAGUUUGCGGCUCAACCGUAAAAUUGCAGUUGAAGCUGGCAGUCUUGAGUACAGUAGAGGUGGGCGGAAUUCGUGGUGUAGCGGUGAAAUGCUUAGAUAUCACGAAGAACUCCGAUUGCGAAGGCAGCUCACUAGACUGUCACUGACACUGAUGCUCGAAAGUGUGGGUAUCAAACAGGAUUAGAUACCCUGGUAGUCCACACAGUAAACGAUGAAUACUCGCUGUUUGCGAUAUACAGUAAGCGGCCAAGCGAAAGCAUUAAGUAUUCCACCUGGGGAGUACGCCGGCAACGGUGAAACUCAAAGGAAUUGACGGGGGCCCGCACAAGCGGAGGAACAUGUGGUUUAAUUCGAUGAUACGCGAGGAACCUUACCCGGGCUUAAAUUGCAACAGAAUAUAUUGGAAACAGUAUAGCCGUAAGGCUGUUGUGAAGGUGCUGCAUGGUUGUCGUCAGCUCGUGCCGUGAGGUGUCGGCUUAAGUGCCAUAACGAGCGCAACCCUUAUCUUUAGUUACUAACAGGUCAUGCUGAGGACUCUAGAGAGACUGCCGUCGUAAGAUGUGAGGAAGGUGGGGAUGACGUCAAAUCAGCACGGCCCUUACGUCCGGGGCUACACACGUGUUACAAUGGGGGGUACAGAAGGCGGCUACCUGGUGACAGGAUGCUAAUCCCAAAAACCUCUCUCAGUUCGGAUCGAAGUCUGCAACCCGACUUCGUGAAGCUGGAUUCGCUAGUAAUCGCGCAUCAGCCAUGGCGCGGUGAAUACGUUCCCGGGCCUUGUACACACCACCCGUCAAGCCAUGAAAGCCGGGGGUACCUGAAGUACGUAACCGCAAGGAGCGUCCUAGGGUA